rnacentral:rRNA from 1 species
CUAAUACCGAAUAAAGUCAAUUAAUUUGUUAAUUGAUGAAAGGAAGCCUUUAAAGCUUCGCUUGUAGAUGAGUCUGCGUCUUAUUAGCUAGUUGGUAGGGUAAAUGCCUACCAAGGCGAUGAUAAGUAACCGGCCUGAGAGGGUGAACGGUCACACUGGAACUGAGAUACGGUCCAGACUCCUACGGGAGGCAGCAGCUAAGAAUCUUCCGCAAUGGGCGAAAGCCUGACGGAGCGACACUGCGUGAAUGAAGAAGGUCGAAAGAUUGUAAAAUUCUUUUAUAAAUGAGGAAUAAGCUUUGUAGGAAAUGACGAAGUGAUGACGUUAAUUUAUGAAUAAGCCCCGGCUAAUUACGUGCCAGCAGCCGCGGUAAUACGUAAGGGGCGAGCGUUGUUCGGGAUUAUUGGGCGUAAAGGGUGAGUAGGCGGAUAUAUAAGUCUAUGCAUAAAAUACCACAGCUCAACUGUGGAACUAUGUUGGAAACUAUAUGUCUAGAGUCUGAUAGAGGAAGUUAGAAUUUCUGGUGUAAGG